GACGAACGCUGGCGGCGUGCUUAACACAUGCAAGUCGAACGAUGAACCCGGAGCUUGCUCCGGUGGAUUAGUGGCGAACGGGUGAGUAACACGUGAGUAACCUGCCCUUGACUCUGGGAUAACUGCGGGAAACUGUAGCUAAUACCGGAUACGACCCUCGGCGGCAUCGCCAGGGGGUGGAAAGAAUUUCGGUCAAGGAUGGACUCGCGGCCUAUCAGCUAGUUGGUGAGGUAACGGCUCACCAAGGCGACGACGGGUAGCCGGCCUGAGAGGGUGACCGGCCACACUGGGACUGAGACACGGCCCAGACUCCUACGGGAGGCAGCAGUGGGGAAUAUUGCACAAUGGGCGCAAGCCUGAUGCAGCAACGCCGCGUGAGGGAUGACGGCCUUCGGGUUGUAAACUGCUUUUAUUAGUGAGGAAUAUGACGGUAACUAAUGAAUAAGGAUCGGCUAACUACGUGCCAGCCGCCGCCGUAA
rnacentral:rRNA from 1 species